rnacentral:tRNA from 1 species
AAGACGCUAGUAAAAUCAGCAAUUACACUACCUUGUCAAGGUAGUAUUGUGGGUUAGACUCCCGCGCGUCUUG